AGUUUGUGGACCAGUGCGUCUCAGUGUCUCCUGCUUAGAGGACGGUGCUCUCACUGUCCAGGUCACAGUCUUUAGGUAGAGACAGGAAACAGGACGAAGACGAAGAGGACGAGGACGACGAGGACAUCGCUGGCUGCUGCUCUGCAGAGAACUCUGGGAUCAGAGCUCGACUCAGUCCUCUGAACGACAUCACCGGGUCUGAGGGACACAGAGACGCAACGAGUUACGAGACGACGGAGACGAGAACUGUCACUUCCUGUGACAGCAAACCGUCAGAGAGUUGAUCUCUCACCUCUGCGCAUCAUAUGAGGACUUGGCCCCAUGGAUCCGGCUCCUGAUGUCCCGGUGCCCAGCUGUCCUGCAGCCUGGCCACCUCCUCCUCCUGCUCCUCCUGCUCCUCCUGCUCCUCCUCCUGCUCCUCCUCCUGCUCCAGAGCCGUUCCUCUGGAGCAGAGGCGUCGGCGCGGCUGUGGAGUCUCGUAGCUUUGGGUUACUUCAGAGUAAAUGAAAGAGAAAUGAUUAAAUAAAGGCUUUUUAAAAACGUCA